UGCCAUCAGCCGCGGUAAUACGGAGGGUGCAAGCGUUAUCCGGAUUUAUUAGGUUUAAAGGGUGUGUAGGCGGACUUUUAAGUCAGUGGUGAAAUCCCGGGGCUCAACUCCGGAACUGCCAUUGAUACUGAAAGUCUUGAGUACGGGAGAGGAAAGUGGAAUUCCGAGUGUAGGGGUGAAAUCCGUAGAUAUUCGGAGGAACACCAGUGGCGAAGGCGGCUUUCUGGACCGAUACUGACGCUGAGACGCGAAAGCGUGGGGAGCAAACAGGAUUAGAUA
rnacentral:rRNA from 1 species